CCAGACUCCUACGGGAGGCAGCAGUGGGGAAUAUUGGGCAAUGGGCGCAAGCCUGACCCAGCAACGCCGCGUGAAGGAAGAAGGCUUUCGGGUUGUAAACUUCUUUUAUGAGGGACGAAAGAAAUGACGGUACCUCAUGAAUAAGCUACGGCUAACUACGUGCCAGCAGCCGCGGUAAUACGUAGGUGGCAAGCGUUAUCCGGAUUUACUGGGUGUAAAGGGCGUGUAGGCGGGGCUGCAAGUCAGAUGUGAAAAUUAGGGGCUCAACCCAUAACCUGCAUUUGAAACUGUAGUUCUUGAGUGAUGGAGAGGCAGGCGGAAUUCCGUGUGUAGCGGUGAAAUGCGUAGAUAUUAGGAGGAACACCAGUGGCGAAGGCGGUCUGCUGGACAGCAACUGACGCUGAGGCGCGAAAGCGUGGGGAGCAAACAGGAUUAGAUACCCGAGUA
rnacentral:rRNA from 1 species